rnacentral:rRNA from 1 species
UGGGGAAUAUUGCGCAAUGGGCGAAAGCCUGACGCAGCGACGCCGCGUGAGGGAUGAAGGUUUUCGGAUCGUAAACCUCUGUCAGAAGGGAAGAAACCGCACUGUGCUAAUCAGCAGUGCCUUGACGGUACCUUCAAAGGAAGCACCGGCUAACUCCGUGCCAGCAGCCGCGGUAAUACGGAGGGUGCAAGCGUUAAUCGGAAUUACUGUGCGUAAAGCGCACGUAGGCUGCUUUGUAAGUCAGGGGUGAAAUCCCACGGCUCAACCGUGGAACUGCCUUUGAUACUGCUUAGCUUGAAUCCGGGAGAGGGUGGCGGAAUUCCAGGUGUAGGAGUGAAAUCCGUAGAUAUCUGGAGGAACAUCAGUGGCGAAGGCGGCCACCUGGACCGGUAUUGACGCUGAGGUGCGAAAGCGUGGGGAGCAAACAGG